rnacentral:misc_RNA from 1 species
UCCGAGUUGACCCCGGCAGUAUCCCAUGAGUCCCCGCCAUGACGCGCUGGCAACAUAGAACGAGGGUUGCGCUCGUUGCGGGACUUAACCCAACAUCUCACGACACGAGCUGACGACAACCAUGCACCACCUGUACACCGCCCUUGCGGACCCCGUAUCUCUACGAGUUUUCGGUGUAUGUCAAGCCUUGGUAAGGUUCAUCGCGUUGCGUCGAAUUAAGCCACAUGCUCCGCUGCUUGUGCGGGCCCCCGUCAAUUCCUUUGAGUUUUAACCUUGCGGCCGUACUCCCCAGGCGGAGUGCUUAAUGCGUUAGCUGCGGCACCGAGGCAAAGCCCCAACACCUAGUGAACAUCGUUUAUGGCCAAGACUAC